rnacentral:rRNA from 1 species
CCACUUUCUUCCCACCAAACCAGUAGAAGGACACAACUGAUGGCUGCAGCGUAUGCUAGUUCAGUCGUCAUGGUUAUUAUCUCCAUGAAUCUCUUGAUUUGGUUCUUUAUACGGCGGAGGCUAAACCGCAUGGCCAGAGAGGAAAAGGUAGAUGCUUUGGACAGUGAUCCAUUAGAAGACGACUUUGAGAAAAGGACUGGGCCAAAGCGGUUUCUCUACAGCGAUCUUGCCAUUGCCACCAACAAUUUUUCGGAUGAGAAGAAGCUCGGGGAAGGAGGAUUCGGAUCGGUGUACAAAGGAUUUUUGAAGGAGCUAAAAGUUGAGGUAGCUAUAAAAAAGGUGUCCAAGAGCUCCAAGCAAGGAAGGAAGGAGUACAUCUCCGAGGUGAAGAUCAUAAGCCAGUUGAGGCAUCGGAACCUCAUGCAACUCAUUGGCUGGUGCCAUUGUGGCGACGAGCUCUUACUUGUCUAUGAUAUUAUGCUCAAUGGCAGCCUCGACACCCAUCUUUACAGUUCAAGCACUAUAUUAUCGUGGCCACUCAGGCUUGAGAUAGUGCUCGAUUUAGGAUCAGCAGUCGUGUAUCUACAUCGGGACUGGGAGCAAUGUGUUCUGCACCGGGACAUCAAGCCAAGUAACAUCAUGCUCGACGCGUCGUUCCACGGAAAGCUUGGUGAUUUUGGUUUGGCGCGGCUCGUCGACCAUGGACGAGCACCAUACACGACAGGUCUUGCAGGAAUGCUGGGCUACAUGGACCCUGAGUGUAUGGUCACUGGAAAGGCCAGCGCGGAGUCUGAUGUCUAUAGCUUUGGUGUGGUUCUCCUCGAGAUUGCUUGUGGCAAGCAGCCAGCGGUGGCUCGUGAAGAAACCGAGGACGUAAUUCACCUUGUACAAUGGGUAUGGGAUUCACUUGGAGGUGGAAGGAUCCUUGAUGCAGCAGACCCGCAGCUCGGCAUGAUGUUCGAUGACCGUGAGAUGGAGUGUGUGAUGGUAGUUGGGCUCUGGUGUGCCCACCCUGACCUCAACCUAAGGCCAUCCAUUAAGCAGGCUGUUAACGUGCUGCGGUUUGAGGCGCCACUGCCAAACCUACCCGCGAAAAUGCCGGUAGCAACAUUUAAGCCGACUAUUGAUUCUAUUAUUUCUGCUUCUCAACUGUCAGGUGGCAGAUAA